rnacentral:tRNA from 4 species
GCUGGCGUAGCUCAGUUGGUAGAGCAGCUGACUUGUAAUCAGCAGGUCGGGGGUUCGAGGCCUCUCGCCAGCU